CUGUAUCUAUAAAGAAACAGAUUGAACCUGCUUACAAAAACUUGUUCCCUUCUUCCUUUGUCUCCUUGGCCGUUGUGAGCUUCAGGCAAGGAUCAGUCAUCAACAC